AGAGUUUGAUCCUGGCUCAGGAUGAACGCUGGCGGCGUGUCUAAGGCAUGCAAGUCGUGGGAUCGGUUUUACUUCGGUAAAAUACGGACCGGCAAACGGGUGAGUAACACACUGGUAACCUACCUCUAAGACGAGAAUAGCCUGCUGAAAAGCGGAUUAAUGCUCGAUGGAAAUGCGGGAUUUAAUUCUUCGCAUUUAAAGCUCCGGCGCUUAGAGAGGGGCCUAUGUUUGAUUAGCUUGUUGGUAAGGUAAUGGCUUACCAAGGCUGUGAUCAAUAGCAGGCGUGAGAGCGUGACCUGCCUCACUGGGACUGAGACACUGCCCAGACACCUACGGGUGGCUGCAGUCGAGAAUAUUCCGCAAUGGGCGAAAGCCUGACGGAGCGACGCCGCGUGCAGGAUGAAGGUUUUCGGAUCGUAAACUGCUUUUAUUAGGGAAGAAUUAGUGACGGUACCUAAUGAAUAAGAGGUUGCUAACUCUGUGCCAGCAGCAGCGGUAAUACAGAGACCUCAAGCGUUAUCCGGAUUUACUGGGCGUAAAGGGUCCGCAGGUGGUUUGAUGGGUUGAAGGUUAAAACUCAGUGCUCAACACUGAGACAGCCUCCAAAACUAUCAGACUAGAGGGUGGAAGAGGUGAGCGGAAUUGCAGGUGUAGUCGUAAUAAGCGUUGAUAUCUGCAAGAACACCAAAUGCGAAGGCAGCUCACUGGUACACACCUGACACUGAGGGACGAAAGCGUGGGGAGCGAACCGGAUUAGAUACCCGGGUAGUCCACGCCCUAAACGAUGUGCACUAGGUAUUGGCAGUAUCGACCCUGUCAGUGCCGUUCAAAAAAGCUAACGCGUUAAGUGCACCGCCUGGGGAGUACGGUCGCAAGAUUAAAACUCAAAGGAAUAGACGGGGACCCGCACAAGCGGUGGAACAUGUGGUUUAAUUCGAUGAUACGCGUGGAACCUUACCUGGGCUCAACUACUAGCUGCGGUCUUUUAGAAAUAGAAGAUGCCUUCGAGGGUGCUAGAUAGGUGCUGCAUGGUUGCCGUCAGCUCGUGCCGUGAGGUGUACCGUUAAGUCGGGAAACGAGCGCAACCCACGUCGUGUGUUAAAUGUACACGCGAGACUGCCCAGCUUUUUGGUGAUAAAUUUAUUUGUCAACAGGAAGCUGGGAGGAAGGGGUGGACGACGUCAAAUCAGCAUGGCUCUUACGUCCAGGGCUACACACAUGUUACAAUGGUCGGUACAAAGGGUUGCCAAGUCGCAAGACGGAGCUAAUCCCAUCAAAACCGAUCUCAGUUCGGAUUGAAGGCUGCAACUCGCCUUCAUGAAGUUGGAAUCGCUAGUAAACGUGCAUCAGCCACGGCGCGUUGAAUACGUUCUCGGGCCUUGUACACACCG
rnacentral:rRNA from 1 species